AUGCUUAGAAUGUUAAACUCAAAUCACUAUGCCCUUAAUGUUUUUUCCCAGACUGGUUUGCUAGCUACCAAAGACCAAGAAAUUGAAUCCUUAAUGCAUGCACUUGAUGGGGAAGAGAUGCAAAUGGAAGAACCAACAAAGAAAAAUGCAGAACUUGAAAAGGCUGUUCAACAAAAAAAUCAAGAGGUAUUCAUGCAUAUUUGGAGCAUUGAGUAA
rnacentral:lncRNA from 1 species